rnacentral:snRNA from 1 species
AUCGCUUCUCGGCCUUUUGGCUAAGAUCAAGUGUAGUAUCCUACACAAUCCACCAUGCGUUUUUGUCAUAUUAGAAAACUCUUU